UCCUACGGGAGGCAGCAGUCGGGAAUAUUGCGCAAUGGGCGAAAGCCUGACGCAGCCAUGCCGCGUGUGUGAAGACGGCCCUACGGGUUGUAAACUGCUUUUAUACAGGAAGAAUUGUACCUACGUGUAGGUAUUUGACGGUACUGUAAGAAUAAGGAUCGGCUAACUCCGUGCCAGCAGCCGCGGUAAUACGGAGGAUCCAAGCGUUAUCCGGAAUUAUUGGGUUUAAAGGGUCCGUAGGCGGUUUUUUAAGUCAGAGGUGAAAUCCUGCAGCUCAACUGUAGCAUUGCCUUUGAUACUGAAAGACUUGAGUUAUUGUGAAGUAGUUAGAAUGUGUAGUGUAGCGGUGAAAUGCAUAGAUAUUACACAGAAUACCGAUUGCGAAAGCAGAUUACUAACAAUAUACUGACGCUGAGGGACGAAAGCGUGGGUAGCGAACAGGAUUAGAUACCCUGGUAGUCCACGCCGUAAACGAUGGAUACUAGCUGUUCGAUCAACACUGGUUGAUUGAGUGGUUAAGCGAAAGUGAUAAGUAUCCCACCUGGGGAGUACGCUCGCAAGAGUGAAACUCAAAUGAAUUGACGG
rnacentral:rRNA from 1 species